AGUCAGCACAAGGAGGCAGACAUGGGACGCGCUUACUCUCUGAAUGUCCUGGCAGUUGGUGUAGCAUUCGUAUUCGUGGCUUCCAUGCUCUUCAUUUGAGCGCCACAGUUUCACAACUACCGGUCAUAUCUGGCAUCCGUGACAAUCAUAUAAAGAUUUGAAAGCAGGAAACGCAGCUCCAUCGGGCUGCGUUUC
rnacentral:sRNA from 1 species